GAUGAACGCUGGCGGCGUGCCUAAUACAUGCAAGUCGAGCGAACAGACGAGGAGCUUGCUCCUCUGACGUUAGCGGCGGACGGGUGAGUAACACGUGGAUAACCUACCUAUAAGACUGGGAUAACUUCGGGAAACCAGAGCUAAUACCGGAUAAUAUAUUGAACCGCAUGGUUCAAUAGUGAAAGACGGUUUUGCUGUCACUUAUAGAUGGAUCCGCGCCGCAUUAGCUAGUUGGUAAGGUAACGGCUUACCAAGGCAACGAUGCGUAGCCGACCUGAGAGGGUGAUCGGCCACACUGGAACUGAGACACGGUCCAGACUCCUACGGGAGGCAGCAGUAGGGAAUCUUCCGCAAUGGGCGAAAGCUAGACGGAGCAACGCCGCGUGAGUGAUGAAGGUCUUCGGAUCGUAAAACUCUGUUAUUAGGGAAGAACAAAUGUGUAAGUAACUAUGCACGUCUUGACGGUACCUAAUCAGAAAGCCACGGCUAACUACGUG
rnacentral:rRNA from 1 species